rnacentral:rRNA from 1 species
ACUCCUACGGGAGGCAGCAGUGGGGAAUAUUGGACAAUGGGCGAAAGCCUGAUCCAGCAAUGCCGCGUGUGUGAAGAAGGCCUGCGGGUUGUAAAGCACUUUCAGUAGGGAAGAUAAUGACGGUACCUACAGAAGAAGCACCGGCUAACUCCGUGCCAGCAGCCGCGGUAAU